rnacentral:misc_RNA from 1 species
UUUCCGUAGGUGAACCUGCGGAAGGAUCAUUAACAAAUCAUGAUGGUGGCUGUGUGUAUGUUUGUACGCAUGGCCCCAUGUACAACCAAACCCGCGCAGCCAUGACUGGUUCGAUGCGCUACCUCCUUUCCCUACCAAGGUGAAAUGGAAGUGGAACAGCGGUGACUGGAGUCUGCCAGUACGCCGGUCCGACCCACAUAGACGCAUGUAUGCUUGACGGAGUUCGUUGACACUCUAAAAUCACAACUUUUAACAAUGGAUCUCUUGGCUCUUGCAACC